rnacentral:rRNA from 1 species
UGGGGAAUAUUGGACAAUGGGCGAAAGCCUGAUCCAGCCAUGCCGCGUGAGUGACGAAGGUCUUCGGAUUGUAAAGCUCUUUUGGCGGGGACGAUAAUGACGGUACCCGCAGAAUAAGCCCCGGCUAACUUCGUGCCAGCAGCCGCGGUAAUACGAAGGGGGCUAGCGUUGUUCGGAAUUACUGGGCGUAAAGCGCACGUAGGCGGAUUUGGAAGUCAGGGGUGAAAUCCCGGGGCUCAACCUCGGAAC